rnacentral:rRNA from 1 species
UACGUAGGGCGCAAGCGUUGUCCGGAAUUAUUGGGCGUAAAGAGCUCGUAGGCGGCUUGUCACGUCGGAUGUGAAAGCCCGGGGCUUAACCCCGGGUCUGCAUUCGAUACGGGCAGGCUAGAGUGUGGUAGGGGAGAUCGAAUUCCUGGUGUAGUGGUGAAAUGCGCAGAUAUCAGGAGGAACACCGGUGGCGAAGGCGGAUCUCUGGGCCAUUACUGACGCUGAGGAGCGAAAGCGUGGGGAGCGAACAGG